rnacentral:misc_RNA from 1 species
AUGAACCUUUGAGGGUUGAGCUGGCGUUUAUUCGCAUGUGCUUGCCCUCUCAUCCUUUAUACACCUGUGCACUUUUGAAGGGAGAUACCCAUUUAGUUAGACAUUCACUUGUCGAAGGUAUCUCCCUUUACACUACAUACUCUAAUGAUUACUUUGAAUGUUUAAACGCUUAACAGCAUUUAAUUA